CCAAAGGCUCUUUUCAGAGCCACACGUUUUCAAAAAAAGAACUUG
rfam:Cavia porcellus supercont2_108 genomic scaffold, whole genome shotgun sequence.